rnacentral:lncRNA from 1 species
UACUUUUUAAAACCUUGACCCACUUAAACCUCAAUAUUCUUCAAUUCAACCGUUAGAUCAAGCUCAAAUUUACAACACAUAUUGAACACAAUUAUAACCAUAAAGUCACAAAAUUCCACCUAUAGAUCUACUACAAAACUCUUGAAAUCACCCAAAACAUAAACCCUAUUUUAUUUCAUAAAACCCAAGUCAUGCGAAACAAUUCUUGAUUUUUCAAAGCUCUUACAAAGUCAUUCCAACUCUAAAUCACCCAAAAUCAAUGCCCAUAGACACCCUAUCCAAUCUGCU